UCAUCUCUGGUAUCCAUGGUGGUAAGAAGUGUAACGUUGGUUAGAGGUUAAGUUUGUUUGUGUUCAUCAUACGUAAUUACAAAAGUAACAUUAAUUAUCGUAAAAUGCCGUAUUAUUAUGACAUGUUAUCGUCUUCCGAUGAUGAAGACAUUAUAGAUUUUAUUAAUAGAAGACUGAAAAAAUUUAAAACUCGCCAUAAUUACUUUGAAGAAUUGGAUGAUAUAGAAUUCAAAAUAAGAUUUCGAAUGGGCAAACAAUCAGUGAUGUGGCUAUGCAAUGAAAUAGAGGAAGAUUUAAAGUUUCCUUCAAAUAAAAAUUGGCCACUGUCACCACUGAAUCAGUUGUUGCUCACUUUACGAUUAUUCGCAACAAGAUCCCAUUAUAUGCCUGUAGCAGAUUUUUCUGAUGUAAGCACAAUUUCUGCACAUCGCAUUGCUUCUCAUGUAACGAAUGUAGUUGCCAGAUGAUUACGACCACAUUUCGUGAAGUUCCCUUCAACAAAUGAGAAAAUUCGUCAGCAGCAAGAACAGUUUUACAGAAUAGCAAGGUUCCCAAAAGUCAUUGGUUGCAUAGACUGCAUACAUGUCCGCGUACAAUCCUUCAGAAAAUGGAGAAGAAACAGAACUUUUUCGAAAUAGAAAGUGUUACUUCUCAAUUAACGUUCAAGUAGUUUCAAACGCCAACAUGGAAAUAACUGAUAUCGUCGCUCGUUGGCAAGAAUUCGUACACGACAGCACAAUUUUCAAUAACAGCCGUUUCUGCGCAACAUUUGAGCAGGGUCAUUGUGGAGAUGCCAUUUUGCUAGGUGAUAAUGGUUAUCCUCUAAAACCAUAUUUAUUGACACCUCUUUUAAAUCCACAAGAUGCAGCAGAACAAUGGUAUAAUGAAUCACACAUACGCACAAGGAACACAGUUGAACGUUUAUUUGGAAUUUGGAAGAGAAGAUUCCCUACUCUGGUGCUAGGUAUACGAUAUUCAAUGGAACGAACUAUGAAGACAAUUGUAGCAACAGCAGUGUUGCACAAUAUUGCCUGUCACAUAGCAGAUCCUCUGCCAGCAAACGAUCCAAAUUAUUAAUCUACCUGCAGAUUGGGAUAAUUUGAUAGAAUAUGGAAACAUUCCUCCACUAAAUGUACCUCAAAAUGAGCAUGCACAAAAUGCAUUUGUUCGGAGUAACCUUAUACAUAAUUUCUUUCAAAGGACAAUUGGGAUAUGCUUACCUGUUCUAAGAUGUAUCUGUCUGGAGGCGGAUUUAGACAUUAUAGGGUUAAAAUUGAAGUAUUACCUGUAUAAAAAUUCCAUUUAUUUUCUUAAAUAAUAUUCGAUUCCAGUACAAAAAAGUGUUCAGUGUGUUAACAUAGAUAUUUCAGUAAUAGUGACGACAUAGUUUUCUUAAAAUUACAAAUUGUAUUUAUUCCAAUGAUAUAAUAAUAUUUGCUUCUUCACAGGUUGUAAAAGCCCGGAAUCAAGUCGACACUUCAUAAUUCGAAUUAUAAGUAAUAGAAGGAAUUCAAGGACAUUCACCAGAAGAUUGAAUUGUGCAUAAAAUUGAUUUUGGAAAUUAUUGUUUUGUAAAAAUUUGAGAACCUAUGAUUUAUAAUAAGUAACAAAUAUUGAGAAAGGUUUUAAUGAAUAAAGCAGUGACGAUUUGUGUAAUUUUA